AUACUUACCUGGCAGGGGAGAUACCAUGAUCACGAAGGUGGUUUUCCCACGGUGAGGCUUAUCCGUUACACUCUGGAUGUGCUGACCCUUGUGAUUUCCCCAAAUGUGGGAAGUUCAACUGCAUUGGGGGGCUGCAUUUGUACUCUCCCCUA
rnacentral:snRNA from 1 species